rnacentral:rRNA from 1 species
CGGCGGACGGGUGAGUAACGCGUGGGUAACCUGCCUCAUACAGGGGGAUAGCAGCUGGAAACGGCUGGUAAUACCGCAUAAGCGCACAGUACCACAUGGUACAGUGUGAAAAACUCCGGUGGUAUGAGAUGGACCCGCGUCUGAUUAGCUAGUUGGUGGGGUAACGGCCUACCAAGGCGACGAUCAGUAGCCGACCUGAGAGGGUGACCGGCCACAUUGGGACUGAGACACGGCCCAA